rnacentral:tRNA from 1 species
UGCCUAAGGGGGUGGCUACCGUGAACAGACGGGGAAAAGGUCAGAAAGCCCCGCAUAAAACUGCCGUUUCCACUCGACUGUUAAUCGAGCGGCCGUAGGUUCGAAUCCUACUCAGGGAGCCA